UACGUGAGCCUCGAGCGUUACCCGGAUUCACUGGGCGUAAAGGGUGUGUAGGUGGCGUAGUUAGUCGCAUGUUAAAGCCCGGGGCUCAACCCCGGAAUCGCAUGCGAAACGGCUACGCUAGAGGGUGGCAGGGGUGCAUGGAACUCAUGGUGUAGGGGUGGAAUCCGUUGAUAUCAUGGGGAACACCAAAAGCGAAGGCAGUGCACUGGGCCAUUUCUGACACUGAGACACGAAAGCGUGGGUAGCGAAUGGG
rnacentral:misc_RNA from 1 species